rnacentral:tRNA from 1 species
GGUCUCAUCGUCUAGUGGUUUAGGAUAUUGCCCUCUCACGGCAAAGACACGGGUUCAAAUCCCGUUGAGACUA